CCUACGGGAGGCAGCAGUCGGGAAUAUUGCGCAAUGGAGGAAACUCUGACGCAGUGACGCCGCGUGCAGGAAGAAGGUUUUCGGAUUGUAAACUGCUUUAGAUAGGGAAGAAAAAAAUGACAGUACCUAUAGAAUAAGCUCCGGCUAACUACGUGCCAGCAGCCGCGGUAAUACGUAGGGAGCAAGCGUUAUCCGGAUUUAUUGGGUGUAAAGGGUGCGUAGAUGGAUAAACAAGUUGUUUGUGAAAUACCUCGGCUCAACUGAGGAACUGCAAGCAAAACUGUAUAUCUUGAGUACUGGGGGGGAAAGCGGAAUUCCUAGUGUAGCGGUGAAAUGCGUAGAUAUUAGGAAGAACACCGGUGGCGAAGGCGGCUUUCUGGACAGAAACUGACAUUGAGGCACGAAAGUGUGGGGAGCAAACAGGAUUAGAUACCCUAGUAGUC
rnacentral:rRNA from 1 species